GGAAGGACUGUAGCUCAGUAGCAGAGCAUCUGACUUUCAUGCAGAAGGUCUUAGGUUCAAACCCCAGCAUCUCCG